CAGGUUCUGACUUGGAACACAGCCUGCACUCUUUUUUGUUUUGUCAAUUAGACAGUCAGCAGAUCCUGAUCACGUGACAUGUGUCAUGCUGUAUGCGAUGUGUGGUGUCUAUAACACUGAGCUACUAUCCACUUUGAUAUUAAGCAACUUGGUUGAUAUCAAUCACUGUGAUGAUGGGUGAAGCAAGAAAGAAUCUGAAGUCCCCUGGAGAAGUCAUAUUAUGUCACUUAGGAAUAGCAUUCUUCUAUUGUAAAAUGUUAUUCCUAUGAAACACAGGGGAAAAGACGUAGAGUGGUAAAGAACUAAGUUGAAAGAGAGGUACUUGAAUCAAACAAUUAAAAGCAAAACAGAGAAGAAAAAAGGCAAGAUAGCAGAUGCCAGUGUGGGAAGUAGUCUCCAAAGAUCACCCCAUGUAAUCCUCCUCUUACCUGUUGGUGGGUAUCAAAGGUGGGGUCUGAUUUCCCUUCCUGUAUAUCUGUGUUGGCCUUAGUGACUUGUUGACUAAUAGAACUCAGCAGAAGUGAUGUUUUGGUCCUUUUGAGGCCUGAUUAUAAGAACUUUUGCAGCACCUGCCUGGAUCUCUCAGAACAUUGGCUUUUGGGACACUCCCUCUUGGGUACCUGAGACCCUACAUGAGAAGACCUGACCACUGGGGGAGAUGCCACAUGGAAGAGCACUGAGGGACCAGACCUGUGAGCAAGCCAUCUUUCCCAUGCAGCCCAUUCCAGUUUACCCACAAGUUCUUCACAAAAUACUGAAUUAUGUGGCAUGGUCCUUUGCAGGGUAACUGGCCCAGCAGGAGGGAGAAGAAUUUAUCUUCAGUACAAACUUCUUUAUUCUACAGUGGCUCUUCAUGUACCCAGAAGGUAACAAUGACAUGUAGCAAAAAACAAACAAACAAAAAAACCAAAAAGGCAGUGAGUGAAUUAAAAUCAGGCCUGGGAAUACUUGAUGAUAUAUUACAC
rnacentral:lncRNA from 1 species